rnacentral:rRNA from 1 species
CCUACGGGAGGCAGCAGUGAGGAAUAUUGGUCAAUGGGAGAGAUCCUGAACCAGCCAAGCCGCGUGAGGGAAGACGGCCCUAUGGGUUGUAAACCUCUUUUGUCGGAGAACAAAACCCGGGACGUGUCCCGGACUGCGUGUAUCCGAAGAAAAAGCAUCGGCUAACUCCGUUCCAGCAGCCGCGGUAAUACGGAGGAUGCGAGCGUUAUCCGGAUUUAUUGGGUUUAAAGGGUGCGUAGGCGGUCCGUUAAGUCAGCGGUAAAAUUGCGGGGCUCAACCCCGUCGAGCCGUUGACACUGACAGACGUGAGUUGGCGAGAAGUACGCGGAAUGCGCGGUGUAGCGGUGAAAUGCAGAGAUAUCGCGCAGAACUCCGAUUGCGAAGGCAGCGUACCGGCGCCAGACUGACGCUGAGGCACGAAAGCGUGGGGAUCGAACAGGAUUAGAUACCCCUGUAGUC